UUCGUAGGCGGAUGUGUCAGUCAGGGGUGAAAUCCCGGGGCUCAACCUCGGAACUGCCUUUGAUACAGCACGUCUUGAGUCCGAUAGAGGUGGGUGGAAUUCCUAGUGUAGAGGUGAAAUUCGUAGAUAUUAGGAAGAACACCGGUGGCGAAGGCGGCCCACUGGAUCGGUACUGACGCUGAGGUGCGAAAGCGUGGGGAGCAAACA
rnacentral:rRNA from 1 species